GCGUGGGUGAAGAAGGUCUUCGGAUCGUAAAGCCCUUUCGACAGGGACGAUGAUGACGGUACCUGUAGAAGAAGCCCCGGCUAACUUCGUGCCAGCAGCCGCGGUAAUACGAAGGGGGCUAGCGUUACUCGGAAUUACUGGGCGUAAAGGGCGCGUAGGCGGCUUGGCCAGUCAGGCGUGAAAUUCCUGGGCUUAACCUGGGGACUGCGCUUGAUACUGCUGAGCUUGAGGCCGAGAGAGGGUGGUGGAAUUCCCAGUGUAGAGGUGAAAUUCGU
rnacentral:rRNA from 1 species